AGUUGUUGCUGGUCCCCACAUGGGGGCAUGUGCACGCUCUGUUUACACAUCCACUCACACCUGUGCACCCUCUGUAGUUCUAUGGUCUGGGGGACCCUGUCUUCCUUCUGUGGUUCUGCAUCUUUACACACACACUGUAAUAAAGUCAUAUGGAAUGUACACCGCGUUUAACGCAAUACAAUACAACUUUCAGCAACGGAUCUCUUGGCUCUCGCAUCGAUGAAGAACGCAGCGAAAUGCGAUAAGUAAUGUGAAUUGCAGAAUUCAGUGAAUCAUCGAAUCUUUGAACGCACCUUGCGCCCCUUGGAUAUUCCGAUGGGCAUGCCUGUUUGAGUAUCAUGAACACCUCAACUCUCAUGGUUUGCCAUGAUGAGCUUGGACUUUGGGGGUUUUGCUGGCCUAUGGUCAGCUCCUCUCAAAUAAAUCAGCUUGCCAGUGUUUGGUGGCAUCACAGGUGUGAUAACUAUCUACGCUUGUUGUUGUACACCAGGUAACCUUCAGAGAUGGAGGUUCGCUGGAGCUCAUAGACGUCUCUCCUCAGUGAGGACAGCUUUUUUAACGUUCGAUCUCAAAUCAGGUARGACUACCCGCUGAACUUAAGCAUAUCAAUAAGCGGAGGAAAAGAAACUAACAAGGAUUCCCCUAGUAACUGCGAGUGAAGCGGGAAGAGCUCAAAUUUAAAAUCUGGCGUGCCUCUGGUCGUCCRAKUUGUAGUCUGGAAAAGCGUCUUCCGUGCUGGACCGUGUACAA
rnacentral:rRNA from 1 species